rnacentral:rRNA from 2 species
GAGAAGGAGCCUGAGAAACGGCUACUACAUCCAAGGAAGGCAGCAGGCGCGCAAAUUACCCAAUCCCGACACGGGGAGGUAGUGACAAUAAAUACUGAUACAGGGCUCUUUCGGGUCUUGUAAUUGGAAUGAGUACAAUUUAAAUCCCUUAACGAGGAACAAUUGGAGGGCAAGUCUGGUGCCAGCAGCCGCGGUAAUUCCAGCUCCAAUAGCGUAUAUUAAAGUUGUUGAGGUUAAAAAGCUCGUAGUUGAACCUUGGGCCUAGCCGGCCGGUCCGCCUCACCGCGUGCACUGGCUCGGCUGGGUCUUUCCUUCUGGAGAACCGCAUGCCCUUCACUGGGUGUGCCGGGGAACCAGGACUUUUACUCUGAACAAAUUAGAUCGCUUAAAGAAGGCCUAUGCUCGAAUACAUUAGCAUGGAAUAAUAGAAUAGGACGUGUGGUUCUAUUUUGUUGGUUUCUAGGACCGCCGUAAUGAUUAAUAGGGACAGUCGGGGGCAUCAGUAUUCAAUUGUCAGAGGUGAAAUUCUUGGAUUUAUUGAAGACUAACUACUGCGAAAGCAUUUGCCAAGGAUGUUUUCAUUAAUCAGGAACGAAAGUUAGGGGAUCGAAGACGAUCAGAUACCGUCGUAGUCUUAACCAUAAACUAUGCCGAUUAGGGAUCGGACGGCGUUAUUUUUUGACCCG